GGGCCUAAAGCGUCCGUAGCCGGAUUGAUAAAUCCGCUGUGAAAUCGUCGCGCUCAACGUGACGGCAUGCAGUGGACACUGUCAGGUCUCGAGACCGGGAGGAGCUAGACGGUAUGCCGUGGGGACUGGUAAAAUGGUAUAAUCCGCGGUAGACCACCGAUGGCGAGGGCAUCUAGCCAGAACGGAUCUGACGGUGAGGGACGAAAGCCAGGGGAGCGAACCGGAUUAGAUACCCGAGUAGUCCUGGCCGUAAACGCUGCGAGCAAGGUGUUGCCUAUCCUACGGGGAUGGGCAGUGUCGAAACGAAGGUGAUAAGCUCGCCGCCUGGGAAGUACGGUCGCAAGACUGAAACUUUAAGGAAUUGGCGGGGGAGCACUACAAGGGGUGCGGCGUGCGGUUUAAUCUAACUCAACGCAGAGAACCUCACUAGAAGCGACGGCAGGAUGAAGGCCAGGCUGAAGACCUUGCCCGACGAGCCGAGAGGUAGUGCAUGGCCGCCGUCAGCUCGUGCCGUAAGGUGUCCAGCUAAGUCUGGUAACGAGCGAGACCUGUGCCCACAGUUGCUAACGACACAUGUGGAUCGAGCACACUGUGGGGACUGCCUUCGUAAGGAGGAGGAAGGUGCAGGCAACGGUAGGUCUGUAUGCUCCGAAUCUUCUAGGCUACACGCGCGCAACAAUGGCCGAGACAAUGGGAUGCGACACCGAGAGGUGAAGCUAAUCCUCGAAACUCGGUCGUAGUCCGGAUCGAGGCUUGCAACCCAGCCUCGUGACGCCGGAA
rnacentral:rRNA from 1 species